CACGUGUGGUGAUCUGCCCUGCACUUCGGGAUAAGCUUGGGAAACUGGGUCUAAUACCGGAUAGGACCAUCGUUUAGUGUCGGUGGUGGAAAGUUUUUUCGGUGUGGGAUGAGCUCGCGGCCUAUCAGCUUGUUGGUGGGGUAAUGGCCUACCAAGGCGUCGACGGGUAGCCGGCCUGAGAGGGUGUACGGCCACAUUGGGACUGAGAUACGGCCCAG
rnacentral:rRNA from 1 species